AGCCCUGAGAGAUGAUCAGGUAGAUAGGUUGGAAGUGGAAGUGUGGCGACACAUGUAGCGGACCAAUACUAAUCGCUCGAGGACUUAUCCAA
rnacentral:rRNA from 1 species